rnacentral:rRNA from 1 species
AAAUUGAAGAGUUUGAUCAUGGCUCAGAUUGAACGCUGGCGGCAGGCCUAACACAUGCAAGUCGAGCGGUAGCACAGAGAGCUUGCUCUCGGGUGACGAGCGGCGGACGGGUGAGUAAUGUCUGGGAAACUGCCUGAUGGAGGGGGAUAACUACUGGAAACGGUAGCUAAUACCGCAUAACGUCGCAAGACCAAAGUGGGGGACCUUCGGGCCUCAUGCCAUCAGAUGUGCCCAGAUGGGAUUAGCUAGUAGGUGGGGUAACGGCUCACCUAGGCGACGAUCCCUAGCUGGUCUGAGAGGAUGACCAGCCACACUGGAACUGAGACACGGUCCAGACUCCUACGGGAGGCAGCAGUGGGGAAUAUUGCACAAUGGGCGCAAGCCUGAUGCAGCCAUGCCGCGUGUAUGAAGAAGGCCUUCGGGUUGUAAAGUACUUUCAGCGGGGAGGAAGGCGAUAAGGUUAAUAACCUUGUCGAUUGACGUUACCCGCAGAAGAAGCACCGGCUAACUCCGUGCCAGCAGCCGCGGUAAUACGGAGGGUGCAAGCGUUAAUCGGAAUUACUGGGCGUAAAGCGCACGCAGGCGGUCUGUCAAGUCGGAUGUGAAAUCCCCGGGCUCAACCUGGGAACUGCAUUCGAAACUGGCAGGCUAGAGUCUUGUAGAGGGGGGUAGAAUUCCAGGUGUAGCGGUGAAAUGCGUAGAGAUCUGGAGGAAUACCGGUGGCGAAGGCGGCCCCCUGGACAAAGACUGACGCUCAGGUGCGAAAGCGUGGGGAGCAAACAGGAUUAGAUACCCUGGUAGUCCACGCCGUAAACGAUGUCGAUUUGGAGGUUGUGCCCUUGAGGCGUGGCUUCCGGAGCUAACGCGUUAAAUCGACCGCCUGGGGAGUACGGCCGCAAGGUUAAAACUCAAAUGAAUUGACGGGGGCCCGCACAAGCGGUGGAGCAUGUGGUUUAAUUCGAUGCAACGCGAAGAACCUUACCUGGUCUUGACAUCCACAGAACUUAGCAGAGAUGCUUUGGUGCCUUCGGGAACUGUGAGACAGGUGCUGCAUGGCUGUCGUCAGCUCGUGUUGUGAAAUGUUGGGUUAAGUCCCGCAACGAGCGCAACCCUUAUCCUUUGUUGCCAGCGGUUCGGCCGGGAACUCAAAGGAGACUGCCAGUGAUAAACUGGAGGAAGGUGGGGAUGACGUCAAGUCAUCAUGGCCCUUACGACCAGGGCUACACACGUGCUACAAUGGCGCAUACAAAGAGAAGCGACCUCGCGAGAGCAAGCGGACCUCAUAAAGUGCGUCGUAGUCCGGAUUGGAGUCUGCAACUCGACUCCAUGAAGUCGGAAUCGCUAGUAAUCGUAGAUCAGAAUGCUACGGUGAAUACGUUCCCGGGCCUUGUACACACCGCCCGUCACACCAUGGGAGUGGGUUGCAAAAGAAGUAGGUAGCUUAACCUUCGGGAGGGCGCUUACCACUUUGUGAUUCAUGACUGGGGUGAAGUCGUAACAAGGUAACCGUAGGGGAACCUGCGGUUGGAUCACCUCCUUA